GUCGCUCCCUAGUCGCUGCGGGAGAGUCUCUGCUUCCCCCUUCCUACCCGCUCCGCGGCGGUAGCUCAGGCUCUUCGGGGAGGGGGAGACAGAGAAAGAAAGAGACGGACUUAAUAAAGUUUCCUGAAACAACAACUACUAGCAAAAGAGGCCCAAGGUGGGGGGGAACCCCCAUUCUUCCCCGCCCCUCUCCAAAAGCCUGAGGGACCGUUGCAGGUGGAGCGGUGCUGGGAGGGGGGGAGCCGGGCUCCGGCGGCAGCCGUUGCCCCGGCGAGGGGCGCCCAGGUCCUGCCCGCUCCGGUUCCGGCUCCUUCGGUGGCGACGGCGGCUUCUGCGGGGCGGUUCCUCCUGUCAACUGCCUGCGCCCGCGCGCCGCCCGCCCGCCCAGCUCCACAGCGCGGAGGGACGCCGUGAGCCGCCGCCGCCGUCGCCGUCGCCUCCGGCCGCGGAGGGACGUGGUGAGCUGUGGCGCUUCCGCGUCAGCGCCGGCGGGGACUCUUUGGGAGCGCGUCGGGCCCGAACCCCGGUUCCCUUCGCGUGGUCCGCCGAGGCUGCGCCAGGUGGGGCCCGAAGCCGCCUCCCACGCCAGGCUGUCCCCGCGGCUGCCCGGCCUGCCUUCCUUCCUUCCGCCUGCCCGCCGGCCCGCCCUAGGAGUUAACCAAGCCGCAAUGAAGAGCUUCUUACAGUGAAAGGAAAGUAGGUCUCGCCCACUGAAAAUGCCUUUAAGGGACAAAUACUGUCAGACUGACCACCAUCAUCACGGAUGCUGUGAACCAGUUUAUAUCCUGGAACCUGGAGAUGCUCCUUUGUUACAGCAACCACUACAGACAUCCAAAUCUGGUAUUCAACAAAUAAUUGAGUGCUUUCGAUCAGGAACUAAACAACUUAAGCACAUUUUAUUAAAAGAUGUGGACACUAUUUUUGAAUGUAAAUUAUGCCGCAGUCUCUUCAGAGGAUUACCAAAUUUAAUUACCCAUAAAAAAUUCUACUGCCCACCAAGUCUCCAGAUGGAUGACAACCUUCCUGAUGUAAAUGAUAAACAAAGCCAAGCCAUAAACGAUCUCCUAGAAGCCAUAUAUCCAAGUGUGGACAAGCGAGAAUAUAUUAUUAAGCUAGAACCCAUAGAAACUAAUCAAAAUGCAGUGUUUCAGUAUAUUUCAAGGACUGAUAAUCCUACUGAAGUCACAGAGUCAAGCAGUACUCCUGAACAAACUGAAGUUCAAAUACAGGAAACCAGCACUGAACAGUCUAAAACAGUACCAGUUGCAGAUACGGAGGUGGAAACUGUAGAGCCCCCGCCUGUUGAGAUUGUUGCAGAUGAAGUUGCACCUACAUCUGAUGAGCAACCUCAGGAAUCACAGGCUGACUUGGAAACUUCUGACAAUUCUGAUUUUGGUCACCAGUUGAUAUGCUGUCUUUGUAGAAAAGAAUUCAAUUCCAGACGAGGUGUUCGUCGUCACAUUCGAAAAGUACACAAGAAAAAGAUGGAAGAACUAAAAAAGUACAUUGAAACACGAAAGAAUCCAAAUCAGUCCUCUAAAGGACGCAGUAAGAAUGUUCUAGUUCCAAUAAGUAGGAGCUGUCCAGUAUGUUGUAAAUCAUUUGCUACAAAAGCGAAUGUAAGGAGGCAUUUUGAUGAAGUUCAUAGAGGACUAAGGAGGGAUUCAAUUACUCCUGAUAUAGCAACAAAGCCUGGGCAACCUUUGUUCCUGGAUUCUGUUUCUCCUAAAAAAUCUUUUAAGACUCGAAAACAAAAGUCGUCUUCAAAGGCUGAAUACAAUUUAACUGCAUGCAAAUGCCUCCUUUGCAAGAGGAAAUAUAGUUCACAAAUAAUGCUUAAAAGACAUAUGCAAAUUGUUCACAAGAUAACUCUUUCUGGAACAAACUCUAAAAGAGAGAAAGGCCCUAAUAAUACUGCCAGCAGUUCAGAAAUAAAAGUUAAAGUUGAACCAGCAGAUUCUGUAGAAUCUUCACCCCCUUCCAUCGCCCAUUCUCCACAGAAUGAAUUAAAGGGAACAAAUCAUUCAAAUGAAAAAAAGAACACACCGGCAGCACAGAAAAAUAAAGUUAAACAAGACUCUGAAAGCCCUAAAUCAACUAGUCCGUCUGCUGCAGGUGGCCAGCAAAAAACCAGGAAACCAAAACUUUCCGCUGGCUUUGACUUUAAGCAACUUUACUGUAAACUUUGUAAACGUCAGUUUACUUCCAAACAGAACUUGACUAAACAUAUUGAGUUGCACACAGAUGGGAAUAACAUUUAUGUUAAAUUCUACAAGUGUCCUCUUUGCACUUAUGAAACUCGUCGGAAGCGUGAUGUGAUACGACAUAUAACUGUGGUUCAUAAAAAGUCAUCCCGCUACCUUGGGAAAAUAACCGCCAGUUUAGAGAUCAGAGCUAUAAAGAAGCCCAUUGAUUUUGUUCUAAAUAAAGUGGCAAAAAGAGGCCCUUCGAGGGAUGAGGCAAAACAUAGUGAUUCAAAACAUGAUGGCACUUCUAACUCUCCUAGUAAAAAGUAUGAAGUAGCUGACGUUGGUAUUGAAGUAAAAGUCACAAAAAACUUUUCUCUUCACAGAUGCAAUAAAUGUGGAAAGGCAUUUGCCAAAAAGACUUAUCUUGAACAUCAUAAGAAAACUCAUAAGGCAAAUGCUUCCAAUUCACCUGAAGGAAACAAAACCAAAGGCCGAAGUACAAGAUCUAAGGCUCUUGUCUGGGAGAACCUAACGAUGAAACUUUAGACCUUGCCAUUUAGAUUGCCACUAGAGCUCUCCACAGGUGGAGAUUUUUGUGCCCUCAGAACUGGCAUGAAGCAGCCUGUUUACCCUGCCCAGGAGAAUGGAUACUGAGGAGUACGGUAUGCAAAAUGAGUUUUAAGAAGUCAGCCCUGCUUGGGAUUGAAAUAAGUGACUUAAUACUAAGAACAUAGGUCUGUAUACCAUUAGAGCUAUCCAGCUUUUGAUUAACUUAUAAAAUCUCCCUUUAAAGGGAAGAAUUCCUGGGAGACUAUCUUUGUCAAGUUUUAAUAGAGUAAAUUUUAUGGAUGAGUUAUGACCCUUAAAAACUGAAGUCAGUAACAGAAAUGCUGACAGACUUGAAUGAGAGGAGGACACCUAUAUUAUAGUCUUAUAAUCUGUAGUUAAAUGAGAAAAGAAACCUUUAAAGUUUUCUGUUCUAAUGCUUUGAAAACAAUUUCUUUUUCUUGUUAUUUGAACUUUAAUAAUAGACAUUAGCAUAAACCUAAUAUCCGUGUCAAAAUAAGACAAGGCACAUUGCUGUAGCAUAGAAUUAUUUUAAAUCAUAAACUUUUAACUAAUACUUAUUUCAGAUCUUCUCUUCUAAAAAAAAUUUGUCUUUAAACAUUGAUUUUUUUUCCUGGCAAACUUCUAUAUACCCAUUCUCACCUCAGUAAAUCACUAAGUGAUUAUUGAAUAAAGGUAAUUUGUGUAUUUAGGCAUGUGUAGGAUUGUAACAGAAAUGAAGAGUUAAACAGAAUUUUAGAAUAUAUAUUUUCUGCAUUGAGGACUUCAUUUGUUUAAUAACCUUCUUUAUAUUUGUUGAUAUUCUUUAAUGCCCUGUGCCAACAUUUUAGAAAUUUUGUUUAGAAAUUUCUUACAAGAUUUAUCAUAUUUCAAUAACACAGAUUUUUUUAUCCAAGAGAUAAUGAGUACCUUGAAUUUAUAGUAUGUAUUAUGCCAAAAUUUAAUAAGUAGUUAGAUAUUCUUUUAGCUUUACUAUAUCACUGAGUGAUAGAGGGUGGUUUUUGUUUUGUUUUGACAUUCUUUUUCAUGUAGUAAAAUCCACAGCACUCUAUUACAUCAACUAGACCGAGUUUACUGACUUAAUCAAUGGAAAAGUAAAACUGGCACCUCUUGAUUUCCUGGUUUUGUGUAUCUUGGGUGGAGCUGACUCCUGGGUGUGAAGGUUGUAAUGGGAAAUGAUGCUAGGUACUUGCAAGAAAAUACUGGAAGAUGUUUGCCAAACAUCCUGUAUAAGUAUGAUUUUCUCAUACCUCAGAGCCCUACCCUAUUUAAAGUUACAUCUAGAUGCAUAUUGUUCUUGUACUGGAACUUGUUCAGUCACUUUUGGUGUAAUACUAGCAUGGCAUCUCUCCCCUGUGAAGGAAAUUUGGCAACCCAGUAUUUGAAAUUAAUUUCUAACAGGUUUUGCAAAGUUGCUAUUUAAAAUCAAACUAUGACUAAAACUAAAGGCAUCAUUCUACCAACACUGACUUCCCUUGCUGACUGUUUUGUCCAUGCUACCACCAUAAUUUUGCUUAUCUUACAGAUUUCAAAAUCCUAGUUCUUUUAUGACUGUGUUCUUGAUAGCUCCAACCCAUGGUGACCUCUUCCUUGAUGAACUCACAAUAUUUACCUUACCACUAAUUUUUCAUACUCAUCCUUUGUGUUGUUAUUGCAUUAUUAUUUAACUAGGGUUAACUAGACUCUCAAUGCUUUGGGGCCUGACAGUCUUUCUCCUCAGCAUCAUGAAUAAAUGAAUCGUCAGGUGUAUUCCUAUUCUCUGUUCUCUAGAUGUCAGUUUGGGUUUCUUUCUUUUCAGGGUCCUCUUCCUGUCUUCCUUUGGCCUAAACCACCUAUUGCUCUUGACUUGGCUACUCUGGUUCUGUUAGUAUCUUGUGUUAGUGGAGAUUCUGAAUGAUUUUAGGAGAUCCUGGGGCGAAUUUUAGGGGACUGUGGGGUGAUUUUUCCACCUUUUUUCCUAUCUCAGGAUCCAUUUUUUAAACUCUGUCACAAAAACCAUACUUUUUUACAGUUAUUUUUAAUAGGUAUUCAUUUAUCAAAAUAUAUUCUGGAAUUCUGUAUCUUGGAAGCAAUAGUAUAGAUAUAUAAAAAAAGAGGACUAACCGGAAACAAAGGAGAGAAAUACUGUUGAAUUGCCAAACACGAAUUUUAUUUCCAGACUCAUUUGCUUGCUGUGGUACUUCUCCACCCCCCCCCCCCCUUAUAGCCUGAUGGGAACAGAACACAAAGAAGUGUAAAUAAUUAUAAUAUUGCAUUAUAUAAGUAACUGCAAAGUAAGGUCUUAAACUAUUUUUUUUUUUAGCCACCUGGCAUUUUGUAUAUACCAUCUUUUGAGCCAUGAUUCUAUUGAAUUACAGAUGGGGAUUCUAGAGAUUUAGUAGAACCUCAUUUUAAACUGGAGAAAGUUGAGGUAAGUGAUUGCACCAGGUCACACAGGUAGUAAAUGAAGAAGUCAGGAAUGGAGGCCAGCUAUCUCUUAAAGAUGAUUUUAGAAGGUAAUAAGACAUACAUGUAAAAAAAUAAAACAGUACAAUGAAGUGUUCUGUGAAAGGUAAGUUUUCUUCCUAUCCCAUCUUUCUCUUCCCUCAUUUUCUACCCCAGAGUCAAAUUACUAGUUUCUUGGGUUUUCAAGAGCUAUUCUAUGUGUAGCUAAACACAGAAAUGUAUACAUUCCCCUUGAUGCAAAUGGUAGCAUGUUUGUAUACACUCUUCUGUACCUUUCUUCUUCCCCACUUUUUUUUUCCACAUGGCAUAUGUCUGAGUUUUGUGGAACCCAGAUAUGCUUAUUCUUUGGUCCAUGAACUUCCAUUUUACUACAUUAUCAUUUAAACAGCCAGUUUUUUAUUCAUGUGAAUGGACAAAGUGUUAAAUUAUUUGUUGUCUCUAGUAUAUAUUGCGUUCCUUAUGUGACCAUAAUGUACUAUGUCACAUUGCUUUCAGAAAGAGAUCAUGGUCAUUGGUUUAUUUUAUAAUAAAGUUGAAGGUUAAAAAAAAAGUAAGUGAAAUAUAUAUAAUAGUUAUUGCUAGUAACCUAAAAUAUGUGAUUAGGAUAUUUACUUUCCCAUUUGAGAAAGAAAUGACAGGCAGAGUUUUCAGGAAAAUGAUUUGCCUUUAGACUUGUAUAAAAUCUGUUUGGAAUGUACAAAAAUGUUUAAUUUCUCAGUGCCAGGGAAAAGCAAUGAUGUUAUAAAUAUCAAACCCAAAUCUUUAUUUUCUAAAUUUUUAAUACCUAUUUUUUUAAGAUUUUUAUUUUUAAGUCAUCUGUAUAUACAACAUGGGGCUUGAACUCACAACCCUGAGAUCAGAGUCACACACUCUACUGACUGAUAUAGCCAGGCUCCCCUAUUUUCUAAAUUUUUAAAUCUCCAACCUCAUAUGCAAAUAACAGACACAAUUUUUUAUUUGUUUCUCAAACCAGAUUGUAACUAUGUGUUUUAAUCUUCUUAAUAUGCCUCAUGAUCAUCUGCAUAAAAAUGUAUCCUUAAUUUUGGUCAUUUUAUUUUGGCAUAUAUAUCUAUAUCUACAUAGAUAAAGAUAUAUUUCAAUGCAAUUAUGGCUUUAUUUUUCAGACAUUAAUGGGGCCUAAGGACACAGUUUUAGAUCUUUUGGACCAAACUAUAUCACAAAAGGCAAAUCCAUUAAAAAAAAAAAUCCUAUGCCAAAUGUCCAUGAUAGGAUUUAUGGAGGCUAAGUAUUUAUAUUUGGAUUUUAGUUUAGAUGGACAGUAAUCCUGCGUUCUCCCUAAGAUGGCAACACUUCUCAAUGCACUAUUUACUGAGUAAUUCUGUUUGAAAGUAGUAUUAACUAUAAGUCCAUUACUGGUUGGAAAAAAGUUAAUCAUACUAAAAGUAUAUUUUUAUAAUACUUUCACAAUAGUUAAAAUUCAGUAGUAGAACAAAUAAGAUCAUAUCUUUGAGGCUUAUAGUAUUAGUGCUGCUUUUACAUGUGUUGUCCUCAACCUUGAAUACAGGGUUCUCCUGGUUCUUACUGCAUUCUAACUUUGGAAUUCUUGAUGUAAGAGAACUAGUCUUGUCAAAAACUGUGAGAAGUCAGGUUAGAACCUGUAUUUAUAGGUCUCUCUCCUAUGGAGAUGUUCUCAGAAAACAAAAGCUGACAAACAGAGCACCCCAAACAAAAACAAACUCUUAAGUAACCAUGUAUUAUGUGAGACACAGAAAAUAUUUUGGUAUUUAUUCUAUGGUGUAAGUUUAUAUGUUCCAAUUCUACCUCCACUUGAAAUGUUUUUUGUUUUUGCUUAAAUGACUAAUUUAACAAGUGAAACAAACACUUUUUGGUGUCAUUAAAAAAGACCAAUCUUGAGCCUUCUCUGCUGUAAAAACUAAGCUGUAAAUUCACAAGUUGGUACCCUGGAGCCUGGAGAAAUGCUGUAUUUUCUUCCUCCUUUUCCCAUAAUUUUCAUUCCUAAUUGGUUCUGGGGUGUGUGUGUGUGUGUGUGUGUGUGUGUGUGUGUGUGUCUGUGUGUGUGUUGAUUGCAUUUGGAUGUGUAUAUGUGUGUUUGAAAUCACAUGGCACUUGGCAUUGUAGUUUGCAAAUGGGGAACAAGACAAGGAGGGCAGGCUAGCUUCCCUACCAGUCUUCACAGGUAACUUUGACGUGGCCAUUACUUUCCAAGGCUGGCCUUAAUUACGGGUUGAUCUAGCAAGGUGACUGGGUGCUAGAGAACUGGGUCACUCUAAACAACCUCCUAGAUAUGGUGUGCAAAUUCCACAAUGCUAGUUUUAAAAUUUUCAGUGAGGGCUAUCAGGCAUACUGGCUUCUCAUUUUUAGGGCUCAGUGUAUGUUCUCCAAAUAGGCAAAUCUACAGUCUACUAAAUUAUAAUCAGAAGAUUGCUUGAUGAGCAUUGAAUCAGCUCUCAGUGACCAAAAUUAGUAAGUUCUGGUAGUAUAAUGCAUUCGUUUUUCCCAAGGAAUAUAUUUGCCACUCACACCAGAUGUUCUUCAAUUCUCAGAGCAUCCUUUUUACUAGACCAGGCUGCAGACAGAUGGCCAGCUUUUGAUUUCUUGAUUUUUUUUUCUUACAUAGUUACUAUAGAUGAUCUCCUUUAGCACAUUUUUUCCCAUUAGAGUUUAAUAAAAUGGCAUAUCUGUAAAAUAGCUCAGUGCCUGGCAUACAGUAAUUAAAUGAUAACUAAUAUUGGUAAGUAUAAAUAGUGUUGAGUUCAGGUCACCUUGAUGCUUGUAUUGUCAAAGACCGUCUUUUGGGCCAUUUCUUUAGAUGAGUGAUCUAUUUCAUCUUUUACAUUUUGAGUUAUUUUCAUUCUUUAUUCUCUAAUUCUUUUAACUCCUUAAUUUCAUUUAUCCUUAAUAUUGAAUCCAUGAGCUAAUUAAUGACAAUCAUUUUUGGCUCCAGAUGAUUUUGUUACCAUUUUGUUUUUGAGACUUUGGUUCUUUUCAAAUUUCAGUUUUUUGCUCCAAAAUACCUCAUUCCCUCGAGUUUCCCAUCUGCAAUGUGAAUCUGUUGAAAGAGAUCAUCUUCAAGUUACUGCUCAGCUCUAGAAUAGAUAGAAUUUUAGAUCUUUUUUGAACAGAUGAUGUCAGGUAUAGCCCUUGCCAUCUAAUCACGCUUACUUUCAUUUCAAGCUCUGCCUAAGUCUUUCUCAUAGCAUGUAAAGUUAUUUUGAAAAUAAUAGCAGCAUCGGGAUUCUUAGAAUUACAGGGAGGCAAUAAUUGAAAACCCCGGGAGGUAUGAUGGUGGUGAAUGAUCACCACCAGUCAACAAUGAAAUUGCAGGUAUGACAAGUACACAGUUGGCAAAACUUUUUGUAUGUAAAAGAAUAUCGAAAGGAAAAAUAGUUGAUUACUUCAGCAACAAUGAGCAUUGUCAGCCUUCUGCUCUUCAUCCAUCCAGGGAUCAGUUAUUCUUUUAAGAGUGGCAAAAUAGAUUUAGGGAAACAGUGGGGACAUUGCCACAGCUCUUUCUGGUAUUUGUAAAAAUACGGAUUAUGGUGAACUUUUGAAGCUGGUGUUCUCAGAACCACUGUUGUGGGAGUUCAGAAAAUGGAGAGAUCAUUUCAGACAGAUAUUCAGGGAAAGCUUGUCAGGAUUGGCUUUGGUCUGAGUCUUGAGGGAUGGGCAGUGCUAGAAUAGAUGAAAGGAGGGAGGGAGAAAACAUUUUUUGAUGGGUGAAAUACCAAGAAUAAAAGCAUAGAGGUGAGAAAUAGCAGUGUAUGUUAGGGGAGUGGAGAGCUAAGUAGUUUGGUGCAAAAUUUCUUAAAAUAGGGUCCAUGAAAGAGAAUUGAGGCAGUGCUUCCUGUCAAAUACCACUUACUUCAGAAUUAGAAAAACGUGGUCAUUCAGCUUGGAACUGGAUGAAACUAUUGAUGCCUCUGAGUGCAUCAAGCUUCAUGUUUUCAUGUGCUUCCUGAUGUCAUCAAAGAAUUCCAUUUUAAAACACUUUUUGGAAAUUGGAAAGGUUGUCAACAUUUUCAAAACAAUUCUCUCUGUAUCUCUCUAAUAUUCAAGUGGAAGAAAAAAAAGUGAUAUCACUUUGAGGGCGGAUGUGCACCUGUCAUGUCAGAUACACUUAAUGCCUUUCUGCUUUGAUGAGGGAAGGAUAGCCAUACGUUACUGUGUCUCGCUACUCUCCAUCCAUAUCAGCUGCUUUCACCGCCUUUCCAAGAGGUAUUACUAAGAAAGAGGAACAGAAUAUGUUGUUUUUCUCUACUAGAAAGUCUGCUUUCUGCUGCCUUUCAAGAGGCCUUAAUUGAAUAUGAAAACAGAGGAAAUAGUGUCACUUGACUCUAGCUUGAAAGUCUUGGAGGAGUUUAGUGUCCCAGUACAGAGGCUACCUCAAUCUGACAAAGCAUUCUGUGGAAUUCUGCUUUGGUUCUGCAUAGCAUAGCUUUGUGAGUCAAAGAUUUCAUUACUUGUUAUCAUGGAGAAAAAGUUGCAGCUAAUCAUUGAAGAAGAUGUAUGUAUGUGUUGCUAUGUCAAAGGCCGUAUUGUAAUUUCCUCUCAACAAGCCAAAACUCACUCAGAUUUACUACUGAGCAGUUAGAAUUUUUUCAAGUAAUUUUCUUCAGGAAGCCACCAUUUUUCUUUUAUGAAAAGUAACAAUGUGAGGGAGGCAUAGUCAUUUAUAAAUAUUGGUUUUUGUAUAUUGCUUAUGUUCAGGAAAUCAGUUUCCAGUGCAAUGAAAUAAAGUAUAGGGUGUAUGCAUUUGGGUGCAUGUUUCUGGAAAAGAAGUCUGUAUCUUUAGUCGGAAUCUCAGACUGGUCUUUGACUCCCCUGAAAGGUUAAGAACUAAUAAUUUAGCUAGUGUGGAGACAAUAGGAUGCUAUGGAUGAGCAAAGGAAUGACAGGAAAUUAGAAAGCUCAUGUAAAGAAUGUGAGAAAGAAAGCUUCAGCAGGACUGAGGGGUGAUUUAGGGAUUCAGAUUAGCUCCAGGCUCUGAGUUAUUCUAAUAAUCCGAAGGUAAUUUUCUAGACAGAGCUUCUUAAAGGUAGGAACAACCCCCUGUUACCUUCUCUGGUCUUAGUGUGUAAGCACAGUGCCUGAGAAAAUAGAUUCUCAAAAAUGUCAAAUUGAAUCACUCUACAGUUAAUGAAAGUUGGACUACAACACCCAAAAUAAAUGUUCUUCUGUUUAUCUGUAUUUAAUCCUGUUUAUAACUCACUUGGUGGAAAAUAAGGUUUUUGAAGAGAGAAUGCUUUAUAAAAAGUUCAAACAACCUUUUUGUUCAGGAGUGGUUAGUUAACAGAAACAUUUGGCCUCUUUGGA